rnacentral:rRNA from 1 species
AUUGAACGCUGGCGGCAGGCCUAACACAUGCAAGUCGAACGAGUGGCGGACGGGUGAGUAAUGGCUGGGAAACUGCCUGCUGGAGGGGGAUAACUACUGGAAACGGUAGCUAAUACCGCAUACCAUCAGAUGUGCCCAGAUGGGAUUAGCUAGUAGGUGGGGUAACGGCUCACCUAGGCGACGAUCCCUAGCUGGUCUGAGAGGAUGACCAGCCACACUGGAACUGGUACACGGUCCAGACUCCUACGGGAGGCAGCAGUGGGGAAUAUUGCACAAUGGGCGCAAGCCUGCUACAGCCAUGCCGCGUGUAUGAGGAGGGCCUUCGGGUUGUAAAGUACUUUCAGCGGGGAGGCGUUACCCGCAGAAGAAGCACCGGCUAACUCCGUGCCAGCAGCCGCGGUAAUUC